rnacentral:rRNA from 1 species
UAAGUAAGCGGCGGACAAGAAACUAAACAGGAUCCCCAUAGUAAUGGCGAAUGAGCAGGGAUGAGCUCAGCAUGGAAAUUGGGGCCUGCGGCCUUGACUUGUAAGCUGGUGAGGUAUUGCCAACAGAGACGCAGAUGUAAGUCUCUUGGAAAAGAGCAUCAAUGAGGGUGAGAGUCCUGCUUGCCAUGUGCAGCCCCCUGUGCACGGUGUACCUACUAAGAGUCACGUUCCUYGGGAUUGGAGCGCAAAGUGGGUGGUAACUUUCAUCUGAAGCUAAAUAUUGGUUUGAGACCGAUAGGAAACAAGUACCAUGAGGGAAAGGUGAAAAGGACUUUGGAAAGAGAGUUAAAAGUGCCUGAAAUUGCUGAAUGGGAAGCGAAUGGAACCAGUGUUUCCUGGUGAGAUUGUCAUAUGCUAUAAUGAUUGGUUGCUGCUUCAGCGCAAGCGUUCUGGUAAGCAUUGAUCUGUAAGUGUGUGGUGUGUCUUGCCUUGAAUGUCAUCGUGGGCUUCUGCAUUAAGACAAUUCACAGUUCAGGGUAAUAUGUUCSUGAAGGUAUGAAUGUGCUGUGCUAUGUUUAUGCAUAAGCUUCCUCUUGCAUGUCUGGCUGCCGUGCUUUGCCCCCAACCUUGGGGAAUGAGCAUAUCCUUUCUGCACAKAUGAUGACUAAAUGAUUCUAUUCGACCUGUCUAGAA